AGGGCACCACCAGGAGUGGAGCCUGCGGCUUAAUUUGACUCAACACGGGAAAACUUACCCGGCCCGGACACUGGCAGGAUUGACAGAUUGAGAGCUCUUUCUUGAUUCAGUGGGUGGUGGUGCAUGGCCGUUCUUAGUUGGUGGAGCGAUUUGUCUGGUUAAUUCCGAUAACGAACGAGACUCUAGCCUACUAAAUAGGCCACCGGCUUACUGACGUCGGUGGGACUUCUUAGAGGGACAGGCGGCGAUUCAGCCGCACGAAACAGAGCAAUAACAGGUCUGUGAUGCCCUUAGAUGUCCGGGGCCGCACGCGCGCUACACUGAAGUGAUCAGCGUGCAUUACAAACCUGCUCCGUCAGGAGUGAGGAACCCAAUGAACCUUCUCCGUGAUUGGGAUAGGGGAUUGUAAUUAUUCCCCUUGAACGAGGAAUUCCCAGUAAGCGCGAGUCAUAAGCUCGCGUUGAUUACGUCCCUGCCCUUUGUACACACCGCCCGUCGCUACUACCGAUUGAAUGAUUU
rnacentral:rRNA from 1 species